rnacentral:lncRNA from 1 species
CUCAUUGCCACCGAUCAAAAUAUUGGUACAGAACUUUGUUGUAUAUUGACACUUUGACAGUUUGAUUUGUGGUUUGGAAGGGGAAGGUGUGAUUACCUGUGAUGGGAAGGGAUUAGUUACUCUGAAUCAGGAUUAUGGGUUGAUGAAGACGAGUGGUUGGGGUCCCACUUGUGCGGCAGAUGAAUAUGAUUAUGCGGUUAAGGACUUAAGGUUUUGAGUAGUGGGUUGAGGAGUUACUGUGAUAUUCGGUUAUACGGGUAUCCGAAUAGACUAUUUUUUAAAAUCAUAUCCGAAAUCGAAUACUGAA